GAAUGCUGACAUAAGUAACGAUAAAGCGGGUGAAAAGCCCGCUCGCCGGAAGACCAAGGGUUCCUGUCCAACGUUAAUCGGGGCAGGGUGAGUCGACCCCUAAGGCGAGGCCGAAAGGCGUAGUCGAUGGGAAACGGGUUAAUAUUCCCGUACUUGGUGUUACUGCGAAGGGGGGACGGAGAAGGCUAUGUUGGCCGGGCGACGGUUGUCCCGGUUUAAGCGUGUAGGUGUGUGUUCCAGGUAAAUCCGGUUCACUUUAACACUGAGGCGUGAUGACGAGGCACUACGGUGCUGAAGCAACAAAUGCCCUGCUUCCAGGAAAAGCCUCUAAGCAUCAGGUAACAUCAAAUCGUACCC
rnacentral:rRNA from 2 species